AUUCCACUGGAAUUCUAUGCUGGCAACCACCUUCUCACCUUUUGGAGAGCACCUGUCCAGCAGGUGCAGAGAGAGGCACGUGUAUGAUGACAUUGUCUGAAACCUUACAUCAGCCUUGCCCGAGGUCAAAUGCAUUUCAGUGAAUAAACUCAUGGAUUUCUUUCUUGAUUUAAGCUAAUUUGAGUUGAAUUUCUGUCACUCAAGACUGAAAGUGUCCUGACCCUUAUGUGUAGGAGUUAGGAGUGAGAAAUCAUUUAACAGAAUUCUUGAGAGCAUGCUCUGUUUACAUCUUCACUCAUUUCAAGCCCAGGCUACUUAUGAUGCAUGCCUGGCCCUUAGGCACUCUCAGCAUAGUUGUUUAUGAAGGAUUUUGGACAAUAAUUGACUUUUUGGGUGUCUAAGGUUUGAGUUUCUUUUAUCAACUAGUGCUGGAGGAGCCAAAUAGUCAAGACUGGGGAAAGGAGAGGAGGAAGAAGACCAUGAAGUAGGGAACCUACUGAUCCUAGGAGCCAUCCAGGAACUGCAACUAUUGUGUGCCUAAAUACAGGAAGGGCCAGCGACUGAGGAUGUGCCUUCUGGAUGCCUGCCACGUUUCCUGCUCAUUCACCCAAGCCUGCCGAGAUAUCAGUUUACCCAGAGAGUCAACGUACUUUUUCCACAGUGAGACCAAUUGAGAACACAAGUAUCCCAAUUUCCAGGUCUCACCUACCAAAUCAUAAUAAAUAUCUAUAUAUUUGGAGAUAGAGAUGAAAACCAUGUGGCUGUAUCCAGUUGGAGUGAAAAAUAUGAACUAUGAAGAAAGAAGGAGUUCUGCUUCUUCCAAAGGAGUGACUCCCAAAGGAACAAGAAUUGACCAUAGGUUAUGGCUUGUGUUACAAUACACCGAUGUUGUCUUUGAGGCCAUCCACUGACGUCCUCACCCAUGGCAUAAGCAAGUUUUUCUGAAGGUCUCUCUUGUGCUCCUGCCUCCUGCCAUGAGAACAGCAAGUCCCAGGUAAGAACUAAUCCUUCUGCCUAACUCUCCAUAGGAGAAAACCUGAACUUGACCUACGUUCUGGAACAGAGCCACCCAGAUGACCCACAGACACUGGGAGAGAAAUGAAGACUUAUUGUUUUAGACUUUGAUAUUCUGGAAUUGAUUGCAGCAUCAUUACGGCAAAAGCUGACUAAUACAAUUCCAUUUGUUAUUCUAUUAAGUUCUUUUUGUUAAAAAAGUAUAUAACCAUUGUUGAAAAAUUAGAAAAUACAGAAAAUCAAAAUGAAGAAAAAAAUUGGGUAGGAAGACAGGCUCAAACAACUAUGAUGCAAUUACAUGUUUAUUUACAAUUGUGAUAAGUGCUAUAAAGGGAAAGUCUGUAUUCUAGGAUAAUAUUAAUAUUUAAAAAGAGGGCAUAGGCUAGGCAUGGUGGCUCAUGCCUAUAAUCCCAGCACUUUGGGAGGCCGAGGCGGACAGAUCACCUGAGGUCAGGAGUUUGAGACCACCCUGGCCAACAUGGUGAAAUUCCAUCUCUACUAAAAAUACAACAAUUAGCUGGGCGUGGUGGCACAUACUUGUAAUCCCAGCUGGUCGGGAGGCUGAGGCAGGAGAACCACUUGAACCCGGGAGGCGGAGGUCGCAGUGAGCCAAGAGCACACCACUGCACUCCAGCCUGGGCAACAGAGCGAGACUCCAUCUCAAAAAAAAAAAAAAAAAAAGAAGGCAUGAUAUAAUCUGGAAUCAGGAAAAACUUUCCAAAAGAAAUAAUGUUACGCAUAUCGUGUAUUAAAUACAUAAAAACUAUAAUGUUGCAUCUAUUAUAAUACACACAUACUUUUAUAUUACAAAUAGGUUAGUUCUUAUAUAUAUAUUUCUUAUACAUACUUCUCUCAUAUAUAAUGUAACAUGUAUAAGAGAACAUAUUACUGAAUUUAUUCUCUUCAAUGGACAAUAUAAAAUUAACAUCUUUCCAUAUUAGCAAAUAUGUUCUCACAUCAUCAUUUAUUUUAAUGCCUGUCUCAUAUUCCAGUGAUAUGUGUGGGCCAUGGUUGAUUCAACCCAUCCUCUGAUGUUGGACGUUUGAGUUGAUUUUCAUUUUUUGUCACUCUGAACAAUCUUGUAAUGAACAUUCUAGCAAGGACUCUAACCUGUUUGCUGAAGAGAAAUAAUUGUGGUGAAAAUGAGAAAAUUAUGUGCUGUGAAGCAAAAUUCUAUGACAUAUCCUGACCUUAUGUAUCCCCUCAGGAAGCAUAAUGGAAAUAUUUAUGUUUGAAAUAAAAUUUCUCAUGUACUUCCAGCUACACUCAGUGAGUCAUUCCUGAAGAUCCUUGGGGAAAAUUUAGACUAUGUUUCUUGGAUGAAGAUUGAUUGGUGGCAGACAGGGGCAGAACAUCAAGGGAGAUGAUAUAUAUGUAUAAAGUGGAGGAAACUAGACUAUUACUUCUGCUUUUUCAAGUCAAGAUGUGAUCUGCUGUCAUAAUAUUAUAUUGCUGGCUUGGCUUUUUUUUGUUUUUUUCUGUCAGUGUGGUUAUUGUUACUUCAUCUGUGGCCUGUUUCCAAAAGCAAUGAGUGAGCCCCCGCAAGAUAAUCACUAGAUUAUCUGGUUCUUUCAUGACUAAUAGGCCAGGGGAAUGUACUAAACAAACAGUUCAGCUCGAACGUGUUGCAGGGGAUUGAAACUGUCUGAAUGAAAAUAAAAUAUGAUAAAAUAAUAUAAUUCACAUGAUUCAUCUUCUGCAGGACAACCAAGUCUGACAUUCCUAUUCCAUAUAAGAAGUGGUAAUUUCACAGUGUACAUUCAGUAAGGAUAUAAAAUGUAAUUUUGGCAGGUUUCAUGGUAUAAAGUUAUAAUAUGGUUUUGGGGGUUUAUAAUAUGGAUGACUUUAUUUACCUUGUGGCUGACUAUGAGGUAAACUUGCAAAUAUGUGUCCAUAUUACAUUCAUCUACUAUGAGCAAAUACUUUCGGGUUGUGAACCCAAGGGAAGAAAGUGGUAAAAUGGCUUAUUUUGCCGCAUGAAUUUCAGUUUACUCGGGUAAUACGAACGUGGCAGGGGCACAUUUGUAAUUUAGGGAGUUAUAACAUCAGUGGUUACAUUUAAUUAAAUGACCAUCAACAUGGGAUUAUUUAGGAAGCAUUUCUUCUUCUUUUCGGUUAAACCUGGAUUGACUCACAUUUUAAAGCAUUUUUGUCCAGAAGAGUAAUGGAAUCCAACAACUCUCUGUUUUAAAUCAAUGACUUUGAAUCAGUGAGUGGUACUCAUAAGAAAAAAUACAAGCUAGUUUUUCAGGGGAAAGUAUUUCUUUCCUUUACUCAGAUAUUAGACUCUCGCUCUCAGAUGACACAUGGGGGUACAUUUCUUAUCUUCCAAUUUUCUUUGGAAAGGAUCAGAUCAGAAGAUGAGAAAACAAAUGUUCAGUGUCCACAGAAAUCCUGCUUCUUUUAAACAGUGAAAUUAUGGCUAUAAUGCUUUAUUCGGUGUUCAGUGCAAGUUUAACCCAGCUUUCUAAAUGGCGAUUUGGUGACAUUCAAACCGACAGCCAUGACAGGGGCUCAGAGAGGUGAAUGACCUCUCAGUCCUCUAAAAGGAAGCCUUUAUAUACCCAAGUUUACUGUCCUUUCAGAAAAUCGUCAGCCAAACGCACUUUAUUCUUUCAACAAAUGUGUACUGAAUGUCCCCCAAGUGUCUUUGUAGUCUCUGACUUUUUGAAGCUUAAGGUCUGAUGAGAGAGACAGAAAAUAUGCAGGUUUUUUAAAAAAAUGAAGAGUAAGUCUGUGAAAGCAGUAAAAGUAGAAUAUAGGAGUGGAGAAUGGGGCGGGGGGUGGCAUAAGAGGAAGAACAAAUUUAGACAGGGUGAGGAGGAAAGCCUCUCAGCUAAAGGCUGUGAAGGCAUCAGCCAUGAGCAUCAAUUGCUGUAUCCAUAGUACCUAUAACAGGACCCAACACAGAGUAGGAUCUCAAUAAAUACAUGUAGAAUGCACAAACGGACAGAUGUGUGAGUGAACAGCGCUCGGGCAGAGGAACUGGGCUGGAGAGCAGACAGGUGGCCAGUGGCACUGGAGCACUGUGGACAAGCAGAGAACAUGCUGAGAUGGGAGGGCAGACAGGCAGGUCGCACACAGGUUACGCAGCAGGUUUUGGGUCCUCUUGGUAAGAAGUUUGAGUUGUACAUGUCAUAGGAAGAUAUUGGAGACUUUUAAGAUGAGAGAAAUCUGAAUUUUCGCUUAAAAGAUUGUCUAAUAUUAUCCCAAAUAGCCAAAACAAUCUUCAAAAAGAAGAACAAAGCUGGAGGCCUCAUAUUUCUUUAUUUAUUUUAUUACAAAAUUGCAGUAAUCAAGACAGGGUAGUGCUGGCAUAAAGACAGACAUGUAGAACAGCGG
rnacentral:lncRNA from 1 species